CGAGUUCCCGUACGAUCACCGAAGUUAAGCAACGUUGAGCUUGGUCAGUACCUAGAGGGGUGACAGCUUGGAAAUUCUAGGUGCUGUAAC